AGAAAAAAUCUCAAUUCUAUAACAAAUAGCACAGCAAGAGGCUUUAUGUCCUGAAAAGGCCAGUGCCGGUCCUGGCGGCGGCACAUGCCAAGCCCUUAUCGCUGCCAAUCCCCCAGCAAAGCUCCCACCGUGGGGUAUCGAGCCCCCAGCCCUGCCAGCUCCCUGCUCCCGCCCCCGUUCCAGCGUGCCUCCUCGGGUGGCUUAAUCCAAAUGCCGUGUGAAACUAUGUCAAACGCUUUGCAAAACAUCAGGCAUAUUAGUGCUACCUAAUAACCAUGACUAAGCUAAUGAAUUCCGACUUUUUCUAAAGACCUAUGUUUCAUAAACCCAUUAGUUUUAUUCCUAGCCUUUAAUUCUUCAUCGUUUGAAUUCCCUUUCACCUAUGCCAUUAUUUUGUCCGGGAUUACUAGCUUGUGGUUAUCUGUGGCAUAAUGACAGACUUUUUAAAAUAUAAACUAGACCUUUCCCUGCUUUUCUGUUGUUGAUUAAAAAUGAACAUCUGCAGACCUCAAUCUUCGGAGACUCUCAAACACAAGUUAUAUGGACACUGAUUUCUAAGUGUAACCCCUGACAACACAGAUAUAAUUUACUACCCUGCUGAUUAGAGAAAGAUUUUGUCUCCCAUUAGGGAGAUAAAGCACAUCGUUUUGUCUUUCCAAAUGCCACAAAGAAAUACUGACCAGAUAUUAUUGCGCUGAUUGAACCGUGUCAUCCAGUGAUGAACCCACCAGCUGGCACUAUUUUUUUUUCUCUUUUUAAAGAUAUUUGAAGUUUUUUGCCCUUACUCUUGACAGUCACAGAUUUCAAGCUCUUUUAAUAAUUAUCCCUCAUCAGCUGGCUAAGCUUCAUAAUUUCUGAUACACACCAUUUGCUAUCUAGUUCCUUUUUGCAAACUACUGCUUUUUUCUUUUUUCAAUAUCUUCUCUGACUUGGCUCCUGAACCCAGGAGAUCCUUGAGGCAAAGCCAACAUCUCUUUAUAAUGAAAUCCAGGCACUUGUCCACGUGAAGAUCUCUACCUAAAAAUUCCCGACCUUCAUUAAACCUUUUCUGCCCGUAUUUUAGCUUCGAGACAAUUCGAAGCUCAGUUUUCCCCAGCUCUGGAGAGCUGGCCCUUUGGAAGCUGCUGUAGGACCGUAUGGCCAUAAACAAUGAUGAUACUGAUGAAAAUGCCCUUUGUCAGCCCGUAUUGGACGUAAUCAGGCUCUGAUCACCAGUUCCUAGGCAACCACAAAAUUCCUGUCCAGCAACCAGGUCCAGAAUAGUCUUGGGGUUUGUUUUGGUCAAAAUACCUUUUGUGUUAGAAAAUUAUUAGCAAUCAUUAUAAGAAACCCUUACAGUGUUUUAAUUAGUGGCUGCACAGGACUUCCAACAGAAGUUACCCUUAGUGACCCCUGCAACGACAGCAGAUUUUUUCCUGCAGAUCCCCAGCUGGAAGAGCAGAGCCCAAGCUGAUCUGCGGUGCAGCAUCUCCUCGGGCAAAGGACCCCUCUCCCACCUCCCUGGGGUUCGUUAGGUAACGCAAUCAUCCAAGCUCGUUCUUCGCUCCUCCAGCAUGAAGCAAGAGAUCUCGCUGAGCGAUGGGCAAAAGCAAUGCUUGCUUUUGGGGAUGGCAAUGUCCCUUCCCAAGAAGGCGAUUCCCAAAUUUUCAGCGUUCCAGCAUUUCCCAAACACAUUUCUGAGCAUCAGUUAUUUACAGGAGUUGGGUCUCUCUAGGUUUCUGCACCUAUCUGCCUGUCUUAAGCCACUUCUAAUUUCCCCCCCUGCACAGAAAUUAAUUCUGAAUAAGGACAUUCUUGGUGGAAACUAAUAUUCUCUCUCCAAAGGAUAUAUUCUUUUUGCUUCAAUUAAUAAAAAAAGUGGAUUAGACUCAUCCUUUUCCACACUUUCUUGAGGUCCUAACCUGUCUCGAGAUUGUGGGCAACUUAAAAGCAGCAAAGAAGUCUCACAAGAGCAUGAAACAGCCCUCUGCAGCAAGAGAUGAAAGAGUCAAUGCACACAACCAACGUGUCAGCAUGUUUCACAGGACUUGCAAAGGAACUGAGUGUCCACAGCCAACCAUCAGGAGGGCAAGGUUGAAACGGAGAUCACGGGGACAGUCAUCUGAAUCUGCUCUUGGAUCCUAGCAGGGCCCCAGGAGAACGAUGUCCUGAAACAGAAGUGGUCUAGACACAGCGGUCAAUUGAAAAACUGCACCGCAGCUGCUGAUAGCCACCAUGUCAAGUCUCCUUCAUGACCUCUGUAGAGAGCAUGUGUCCAUCACAGUGCUGCUCACCAGUGGGAACAGUCCACAGCCACCCACAACGAUCAAACACCAAACCAGCCUUCCCCCCUCAAGUUCUUCUAGGCUCAGGGCAACCAUCCACGCUGCAGUCUGAGCUCCCUCCUAAUCUUCAUCACACCUAAGGCUCUCACCAAAUCUCCCGUCCUUCCUCCCAUGUAUCGGAGAUCUCCCAGACUUGCUGGACUAUGAGCGUCACCCCCAGUGAGCAACAUAUUGGGAAGCUCAGCUCGUGCUUGGUUCUCUCUGUUGUCCUCAUUUGGGAGGCAAGGGAGACCAUCCUACGAGAACAUUUCAUAUCACAGCUAGUGAUAGAUCUGCUUUCAGAGCGACAGAGCUGCUCUGUGGGCUGUGUGAAACCCAAAGCUUUUGCAUGUCCAGGCAUUAUUGCUGUUAUUAAAUUGGAGAUUCAACCCAUAUUUCCUUUGGAAAAGAGCUUUUUCAGCCCAGCAGGCAAAAAGCAAGACAAAGUAUCUCCGUUAAAACCCCACCGAAUCAAAACUCAGCUUUUGCUGGGGUGUUCCAAGUAGGUGACAACUCCUGGAGUCCUUCUCACCCCAAACACCCAGUAGCUUUGUUUAUUUAUUAAAGGAUUCACCUCCAAAGGUGGGGAUUUAAAGAUUUUUCUGCAACACCUCAGAGCACUUCCCGCCUGUUAGAGCCAUGUUUCCCCACAGCAGCACGUCUGGAAGGCAGAAGCCGGUGCGCGAUACCCUGAAUUCAGCACAAUGUUACUUAUCUAAGCAGAAAGCAAUAACAACACAGCAGAGAUUUCAUUUCCUUUCAGCACAUAAGAACUCCACGGAGCAAAGGUGAGAUUAAAUAAUACAAUAGACAGAAAGAGAGCAAGGCAAAGGAAGGUUUUCAAGUCCCUUUCCUUUGCCAGGAGUUAUGAAAACCUUACAGGAGACUUCACAUCUAAAGCUCCCUGGAUAUCUUCAGCCUCUUAACAAAGAUGGCCCAAACACUCCCCGUACAGACUCACCACCUGCCUUCCCAGGCAGCUCCAGCAGGACUCUACUCCAGAGAUAAUAGAGUAUAAUAUGGACUGGUUUGGGUUUUGCCACUCAAACCAUUGACCCGGCUCCUUCCUUAUACUGCAAAAUUGCCUUUUUUUCCCUUUCAUGCGUCAGGGAAAAGGCGCUGCUUGUUUCUGGAGGACAAUGAGCAGCGUAAAGGAAUCUAAAUUCCUGAUGCUGUUCCCAGCAAAACAUAACGGGUGUGCUGGCACGGGCUCUGCGGACACAGCACGGGGCCCUGGGGCCUCAGCUCAACGAAGCACUUAGAGGUGUGUUGAAGUCCAUCCUUAUCCAGGAAAAAGAAAAAAAUUAUCUAUAUAGGUGAGAUUUAAGCAUGUGCUUAAGCAAAUACGUUCAAGCUUCGCCAGACAGGGUGGGCAGCUGAGCCCACCCGGAGCCGACAAGCUGCAAAGCAACCGAUGCUCACCGAAGUGGAAGGAACGCACAAGCAAGAUGCACAGAAGGAGGAGUGACAUCUUGGCACUUCGUUGCAAUGAAAAAAAAAUUGGUUUUGGCUGGGCCUCAUGGCUUUACUUUCAGCCAAUACAACAUAAAAUGCCAUCCCUCCUGUGCAAGCGGCUGCGAGAACCCAUCAGUCUUAUUUGAAGCCAAAAUACUCCUUAUCACCAAAGACUUCUUGAGAUCUGAACGUGAGCCAAGGACUGCAAUGAAAUGUAGGACUUAAUUAUGUCUGACAAAAGCAAAUCAAUUAAAGGCUUUUUCACAUCUGUGUCAUUUGAUUGGGGCUUCAGCUUUAUCUUCUCUUCUCUGCUCCCUCGCAGAAAUUGAAUAUUUAUGGCCAGGAAUUAGGUCAAAGCCCAGGAAUGAAUAAAUGUUUGCUGUUCUAUGCAGGAGACAAGGAAAGCUUCAGAUUGCUAAACAUGAAGCCAAACCCCACCGUAGUUCUCAAAAUGGUCCGAUAAAGCCUCCAGCUGUAAAUCCUCGGCAGAGCGCAUGCUGUAUCCGGGCAGCCUGAGCUCUGGGAACGCACCAGGAGAUGCACAGAGUAAGGCUGUUCGAGCCACAGAGCCGUUGCCCACCUUUGCGUAUUUUGUUUCUCUGACAUCCAUUAGAUUUGCUUUUAAAAUUGGUGUUAGAAAUGACCCUUUUAGAAGAGGCUCAGGUACUCUGCAACUCACUGCUUUUUAAGUGCCCAGCUUCAGAUUUCAGGGAUCGUUGCUCGAAGCCCCGCUCUGGGAAGCGAUGCUCUUACGGCAAAGCUCUUCCCUGCUGCAGGGCUUGCGUGCAACAAAAUCCCUUUGCUCCCAUCCCUCCAUCCUUCCACUCUCCUCCUGAGAACUUCUUCUUUCACUUCAACACCCCUGACCCCCAUCGGCCACCCAAAGGAACAGGAAAUUGCACAAUUUAAUAGCUAGUUGUUUACCAGGCAGAGCUACGUGCCCCAAAACAACCAGACUUGGUUUGAACGUGCGGGCAGGGUACCACUCCUGUGCUUGGCGCAGGAGGCCAGCCCUGACCACCUGUAGGAAUCAAGAUCACACCUGCGCGGCCCCGACGGCAUCGCUGCACCUUCAAACCCCACCUGCUGUUCCCUUGUGUUCAGCAUCCACAUCUCCCAAGUUACUUAAAAAAAAAAAACAACAAAAAACUCAGGCGCAAAAAGUGGAAAACACAACAGUUUUCUUUUUGAUGACUGGUAGCAGUUAUUUCCCCAUAUACCUAAACGUAAGGUCUGAAUUAAAUUUGGCAGAAUCCUUUUGAGUGAAUUUAUCGAAAUGUAAUACGUACCUAUUACUCCUUAUACCAUUCAGGGGCUGUCUUUCUUAUACACUUUCCCUUGACGCUUUAAUAUUUAUAUCUAUAUUAAACUAUUCACACUGCUUUCAAGGCAUCUUCUGCCAUCACUCAAUCUUUAAUAACUUGCCUGCAACAAAACUGUUUCCAGUAUACUUUUUAAUCCUACAGCAAGGCCUUCAGUGCAAGGUACUAAAAGCUGACACUAAUGGCUGAAGCUUGGGCACAAAAAUCCAGCAGGAAGGAUUAUCAUGCUCCAAAGGAACUUGAAGACCCAACAUAAAUAUGGAUCAAACCCCAAAUCACAUUCUGCCUCCUGGCUUUUAUCUUCUGUGAGGAGCUGAUGGAACAAAACUUGUCGGUUGUGUGAUGUUACCAAAGCACUCUCCAAGUGCAGGGCUUGCCUUUGCGGCAUUUUAGAGGAAAAGGUGUUGAACCAGCCCAGGGAUGCUGGAGGUUACUCCAAGGGAAAGGAGAUGAGCACCUUGCAAACCCCCAGCCCUCGCAGGACUCGACACGCCAGGGAUGCGCAGUGCCCACCACCCCUCCCGUCAACGGUCCAUUAAACUCACCUUCAAGAAAACGGAAAAUAAACCUCAAGAUGUGUAAAGCAACAUCCUUCCAGCAAGCGUCCCAAAUACCCUGCCAAAAUCAGUGCCAAACGGAGCGGGAUUGUAUUUGCAGGCAGGAGCGUUUCUGACACCCUGCCAGUCGGAGCGAGCCGGGCUGCGGCCGGGGAGGCACAGAGACGCAAAGAAUGGCAUCGAAUAUGCAGAACAGAAGCCAGGGUGGAAAUGAAAGGCCUCGUUGGAAUCACAAAUGUUCUAAUCAGAGCUAACGAUCCCCCUCCCACCGCAGCGGAGGACAACUUCAGAGCCGGGAUUGGCACCGCUUUUCACACAGGUGCUUAUCCAAGUAGCAUCUGGGCAUCUUCUCCCCCAAAAUACUGCGUUCUCCAUCCGGCCACUGCCAGCCCAUCCACAGGAGGGGGACAAAGGGUCCCCACAGCCAGCUGUGGCACCGAGGGAGUAUCACCACCCCAUACCAUUUCAAUUAUGCUGCCCCUGGGUACGUCCAGGCCAAGGGACAGGACGGGAUUAGCACCGAGGCGUAGCAGGUGAGCUGGUACCCAGGACAUGCAAGAUGCCUCAGGAGGUUCAAGAGCCAUAGAGUCAAAAGCCAAGUAAUUUCAUCUCCCCGGGAAGGCCUGUUAUCUAUCUGAUUCCACUUAGUUUGAUGUAGUGUCUUUCAUACGCCGUCGCUCGGAACAAUUUACAGCCAGAAAAUAACAACUGCAGGCUUUGGUGAGUCGCAUCCAGCAGCCCUCUGGAAGAGCGGCAGAGCUUUUUUCAUCCAGCUCUUGUAACACUUUUAUAAUGAUCAGGUAACGCAUCUCAGCCCAUGUGGUUGCACAGAUCACUCCAUCCGCAGAAACUCAAUGCUCGGAUCAGGCAGGAUUUCUCUCUGUUAAAAAUGCGCGAACGCUAAUACCCUUGAACUAAAACUGGCAGCGGCUUGUUUUAAAUGCACGAGCUAAACAACCAGCUCCGGGCUGACAAGGGCUCUGCAUCCGAUUAGAAAAUGUGCUGUCAUGGCUCACAACAAGCUACGGGCUCCAUCCGCAGAGAUCUGCGAUGCGGAGAGGGUGUCUGUGCAUGGAGAGUCGGCAGACGGGCGUUAGGGAGGUUGGGAGGUGCAGUGCUUGCCUGUCUCUUGUUCAUCAGCGGUCCAGCACACCUCCUCCUGGGGAGGACUGCAUCCAGAAGUUAGAUCACCAAAUGCUUCGGGUUGGAAGGGACCUUAAAGAUCAUCCAGUUCCAACCCCCCUGCCCUGGGCAGGGACGCUGCUCAAAGCCUCAUCCAGCCUGGCCUUGAACACCUCCAGGGAUGGAGCAUUGACAGCUUCCCUGGGCAACCUGUUCCAGCGUCUCAGCACCCCUAUAGUAAAGAAUUUUCUCCUGAUAUCCAAUCUAAAUCUACCCUCUUUCAAUUUGAGGCCGUUAGCCCAUGUCCUAUCAUAACACUCCCUAAUAAAGAGUCCCUCCCCAUCUUUCCUGUAGGCCCCCUUCAGGUACUGGAAGGCCGCUGUAAGGUCUCCAAGAUAUUUGGUGUCCCAGCAGCAUCAAAAAAUUUGGGUUGGGCACAUUCAGGGAGGAAAGCCAUGCUACCCAAGACUCAGCAAGGAGGUGGAAAGGAGACACCUCUGCUAGAUGGACACAUUCCUUGCACUGCAGACUCCUUGUUCCCAGGCCACCAUGUCACACCUCCUUUCCUUUGAAGAUGACAACAAGGGAUGCCCAGGUGAGAGUUAGCUACUGUCCUACCCCUAAUCCAGCUGCAGUCACCUUCAUCCCCAUCACCCUGCAGGCAUCUGCCUCAACACCCUCCUCUGCGGCAGGUCUCCCUUUUAUCACCCUUUCCCCAGGGCAAACACGACAUGACCCCUCCACACAACAUCUUGCAGCACAGGGCACGCAUGGAGUUAUUCAGAAAGCUUUGAGGCCACAAUGGUCUCAUCUAAUUCCACUUUCUGCAGACAAAAGCCAUCUAACAAAGCCACAGAUCUCCACGGGAGCCUGGUGUCCCUGCAGACCUCCAGCGAUAACGCCACCGACAAAGGACGUCACUGAUAGACCAGAAGUCUUUUAUUUAGCAACUUCACCCACUCUUCCCAGGAAUAUGUUUUCAGCUGGCCUGUAUUUAACCUUCCUUUCUCUAAAGCAAUAGGC